CCUACGGGGGGCUGCAGUGAGGAAUAUUGGUCAAUGGGCGCGAGCCUGAACCAGCCAAGUCGCGUGAGGGAUGACGGUCCUACGGAUUGUAAACCUCUUUUGCCGGGGAGCAAGCGUGCGUUCGUGAACGCGCGUCGAGAAUACCCGGAGAAAAAGCAUCGGCUAACUCCGUGCCAGCAGCCGCGGUAAUACGGAGGAUGCGAGCGUUAUCCGGAUUUAUUGGGUUUAAAGGGUGCGUAGGCGGGGAUGCAAGUUGGGUGUCAAAACUACCGGCUCAACUGGUAGUCGCACUCAAAACUGCAGCUCUUGAGUGAAGUAGAGGCAGGCGGAAUUCCUAGUGUAGCGGUGAAAUGCGUAGAUAUUAGGAGGAACACCAGUGGCGAAGGCGGCCUGCUGGGCUUUUACUGACGCUGAGGCUCGAAAGUGUGGGGAGCAAACAGGAUUAGAUACCCUAGUAGUC
rnacentral:rRNA from 1 species